GAUGAACGCUGGCGGCGUGCUUAACACAUGCAAGUCGAACGAUGAAGCCCAGCUUUCUGGGUGGAUUAGAGUCGAAAGGGUGUGUAACACCUGAGUACCCUGUCCUUAACACUGGGAUAUGCCCCGGGAAAUCUGUCUCAUACAGGAUAUGAGAGUCUAUUGCAUGUUGCGUGUUGGAAAGAUUUAUCGGUUUUGGAUGGACUCGCGGCCUAUCAGCUUGUUGGUGGGGUAAUGGCUCACCAAGGCGACGACGGGUAGCCGGCCUGAGAGGGUGACCGGCCACACUGGGACUGAGACACGGCCCAGACUCCUACGGGAGGCAGCAGUGGGGAAUAUUGCACAAUGGGCGCAAGCCUAAUGCAGGGACGCCGCGUGAGGGAUGACGGCCUUCGGUUUGUAAACCUCUUUCAGUAGGGAAGAAGCGAAUGUGACGGUACCUGCAGAAGAAGCACCGGCUAACUACGUG
rnacentral:rRNA from 1 species